UUCUACUUCUACUUACUACAUCAACAUCAAUUAUAUUUUUCCGUUAAUUUUUUUAAAAUGCCCCAUCGAUCACGGUUCUUGUGUCGUUUUUGACUGUCUAUUUACAUGGAGAAAUAGUGGAGUCAAAUUCUUUCGAUUUCCUAAAUCCAAAGAUAGGCAGGAUCAAAGAAAAAAAUGGAUUAGUGCUAUUCGAAGACAAAAAGGGGGGCCAUUGUCAGUAGACCUAUUAUAAACAGCGAGACAUUUGACAGAUUUAAAGACAAACCAGGGUCAUUUGAAAAUGUUGCACUGGCUAAUUAAGAGGGAACCUAUAUAGGAUAUAGUAGAUGUAGAAAUCAUUGUAUUUUCCCAACAAUACCUGGAUUUAAAAAUUUCUGAAGUGAGAAUAGAAGAAAUAUGUGUGAAAACUGCUAACUUUCAACAAUUUCAGAAUUGUUUUGUGAGCCAUAAAUAGGAGUAGAUUCCCAACAUCCUUGUUUAAAACAUUAACAGAAUAUAAAGGCCAUAAAAUUUGGAAAAGAACAAAGAAGAGUCCAAAUCAUUGGUUAAUGAUAUGUUUUAUAGGGACUAUAUCAUAUAUUUUAAUGAAAGAAAAAAAUGAGUACUGAACACAAAGCACGAUUGUUACAACCAAAAUCAAGGCAACUUAUAAUUAAUAAAAAGGAAGGUGUGCCACCUAGUGAUCUGGAUGCCUUCAGAAUUGAUCAUAUAUGAUGUCGGUAUUGAAGAAUGCUGGGAACACAAUAUAAAAUUAUUAAAAACAUUUUAUUUGAAUAAAUAAGUAUACUUAUACCAUUUUUAUGUGGAAAUAAAGCACUUUAAAAUUA
rnacentral:lncRNA from 1 species